rnacentral:rRNA from 1 species
CAUGUAAGUCUGGUGUUUAAUCCCGGGGCUCAACCCCGGAUCGCACUGGAAACUGCGUGACUUGAGUGCAGAAGAGGAGAGUGGAAUUCCACGUGUAGCGGUGAAAUGCGUAGAGAUGUGGAGGAACACCAGUGGCGAAGGCGACUCUCUGGGCUGUAACUGACGCUGAGGCGCGAAAGCGUGGGGAGCAAACAGGAUUAGAUACCCUGGUAGUCCACGCCGUACACGAUGAAUGCUAGGUGUUAGGGGUUUCGAUACCCUUGGUGCCGAAGUUAACACAUUAAGCAUUCCGCCUGGGGGAGUACGGUCGCAAGACUGAAACUCAGAGGAAUUGACGGGGGACCCGCACAAGCAGUGGA